rnacentral:lncRNA from 1 species
UGUUCAUUUCCAGGUUGUUGUCAAGAUGGAGUGCCUAACCCAGUAAUCCAUGGACCAGGCCCUGAGUCCACAAAGCAUGAUCUCCUUCUGUCCACUCUGUGGCAAAAGUGUCAAAGUAUCAUUCAAGUUCUGCCCUUACUGUGGCGAGGCCCUGCCUGUAGAGGAGGAUGGAGGCACCCAGACUGGCAUUACGCCUCUUGUGUCACCCUUUCGAGGCUCCAAGAGAGACCUGAACUCCAGUUCUGAAACCUCCCCCAAGAAAGUGAAAUGGUCACGCACUGUCACUUCUCUCCCGCUCUCCCUCCACUCUGACUAUGACAGUUCUGGAUCUGAUGACACCUUGAGUUCUCCUGACAGAGCCACAGGACCCGGA